UACGGAGGGGGCUAGCGUUGUUCGGAAUUACUGGGCGUAAAGCGCACGUAGGCGGUCAUUCAAGUCAGAGGUGAAAGCCCGGAGCUCAACUCCGGAAUUGCCUUUGAAACUAGAUGACUUGAACGUCGGAGAGGUGAGUGGAAUUCCGAGUGUAGAGGUGAAAUUCGUAGAUAUUCGGAAGAACACCAGUGGCGAAGGCGGCUCACUGGACGACUGUUGACGCUGAGGUGCGAAAGCGUGGGGAGCAAACAGG
rnacentral:rRNA from 1 species